AACUGGAGGGCUGACUAGUAACUAACCCACUGCCUAGCUUAGUCAGGUUGGUGGCGGUUUUCAUUCUGUUGUGGUUAUUGAGGGUCCUGGCUUCCAACUGACUGGAGCUCUUAUCUGCUCUCAAAUCCUAUUGGUCCCCUGACUUUCCUGGAGGUCACUCACAGUCCCUUGACACACAGAUUUUCCCAAUAAUGCUACAUCGUCAAGACAGCAAAGCAGUGUUUAGAAUACAUCCAGUAGCAACAAAGAGCCUCGUAUAACAUACUCACAGAGUGACAGAGUAACAUCGUAUACUUUUGUCAACUUCUGCUGUCUGGCCUCAACUACUGGUCCCAUCCAUAUUUGAGAGAUACAUAAGGGCCUGAACCUGAGAAGGCUGGUCUCAUAAGCUUCUCCUUAAACUCUGUCUGCCACCAACAAAAAGCAGAGUUCCUGCUCCUUGUCUAGGUCCCUGAGGAGAGAUCGCGUUACAGGGGACAGUGAUCAUCAAGAGGGCUCAUCAGGAGGACUUCGUGGGAUAGCCAUAUUGGAGUGAAAUCAUGGACAGGCUCAAGUGCCUCCAGUAAAAUAACCAGAAAGUAACUGAAUUGUGGACAACAAAUGCUAUGAGGAUUGUGACAUUCUGGCCUGUGACCAAAAGCAGGCAAGACCAGGAAGCACAUGGCAGUCACAGGCAGAACUUAGAGGGUGACAUGGGACUUGCUGGGUCCAGGAAGAGACCCACCAGGUCCUUAGCAAGUUGGGAAAGAAUAGAUCUCACAUCUCCAGCAACAGAGGCCAGCUGGGGGAGCACGGGCAGAACGGAAAAGGGACAUGAUGCAGCAAGCAGGCAAGGUCCCCAUGAGACCUGCCUCGAGACCUGCAGUGCUGGCUCCCAUGGCAGUGGGGUAAAUUCCCCCAUCCAUCAUCUUUAGGGGGAAAAGUCUGGAAACCUGAGCAGUUACCUGGAAAGGACUGUUUUAAAGUACAGGAGACUGGCAUAUUGCUAAUUGGCUCAUUUAAAGUUCACAUUCGUUUCCCUGCUACCCCAGGGCUGUAGAAUCUUGAAGAAAACUCAAUCCGUUAUAGAGAAAUAAAGGAACUACAUUUUCUUCUC
ensembl:lincRNA Gm43446 predicted gene 43446